UUUAAAAGGUCUUCCUUCCAGGACCUACUCCUUAGGAAAGGCUUUGCAGUGCCCGGAACUUAGCUGUGUCAGUGGUCUUGGACAGCAAAUAGGGGCAAGGCAGUUUGUUAGCAAAGGGCUUCCU
rfam:Otolemur garnettii contig050726, whole genome shotgun sequence.